rnacentral:rRNA from 1 species
AAUAGAUCCCGGGUAGUCCACGCCGUAAACGAUGAGUGCUAAGUGUUAGAGGGUUUCCGCCCUUUAGUGCUGAAGUUAACGCAUUAAGCACUCCGCCUGGGGAGUACGGCCGCAAGGCUGAAACUCAAAGGAAUUGACGGGGGCCCGCACAAGCGGUGGAGCAUGUGGUUUAAUUCGAAGCAACGCGAAGAACCUUACCAGGUCUUGACAUCCUCUGACAACCCUAGAGAUAGGGCUUCUCCUUCGGGAGCAGAGUGACAGGUGGUGCAUGGUUGUCGUCAGCUCGUGUCGUGAGAUGUUGGGUUAAGUCCCGCAACGAGCGCAACCCUUGAUCUUAGUUGCCAUCAUUCAGUUGGGCACUCUAAGGUGACUGCCGGUGACAAACCGGAGGAAGGUGGGGAUGACGUCAAAUCAUCAUGCCCCUUAUGACCUGGGCUACACACGUGCUACAAUGGAUGGUACAAAGAGCUGCAAGACCGCGAGGUGGAGCUAAUCUCAUAAAACCGUUUCAGUUCGGA